rnacentral:rRNA from 1 species
CAAUAGCGUAUAUUUAAGUUGUUGCAGUUAAAAAGCUCGUAGUUGGAUUUCGGAUGGGCUUGAUCGGUCCGCCGUUUGGUGUGCACUGGUCGUGCCUAUCUUGCUGCCGGGGACGCGCUCCUGGCCUUAAUUGGCUGGGACGCGGAGUCGGCGAUGUUACUUUGAAAAAAUUAGAGUGUUCAAAGCAGGCCUAAGCUCUGAAUACAUUAGCAUGGAAUAACGCUAUAGGACUCUGGUCUUAUUGCGUUGGUCUUCGAGACCGGAGUAAUGAUUAAGAGGGACAGUUGGGGGCAUUCGUAUUUCAUUGUCAGAGGUGAAAUUCUUGGAUUUAUGAAAGACGAACUUCUGCGAAAGCAUUUGCCAAGGAUGUUUUCAUUAA